AUGCGUCAAACAACAUACUGUCCUCUCGAUUCAGAUCAUCCUCAACCGCACUCUCUCUCUUUUCCCAAAUCUAUUACAACCCACGUCAAAUCUUUACCAAUCUCACCCUCUCAUUCUCUAUUAACACCCCCUGAAUACGAAACCGAUCAGGUUACGAUUUCAUCGAAAAUGAACGUAAAAUUCGACGGUGUUGGAGACAUAUAG